rnacentral:rRNA from 1 species
GAUAAACGCUGGCAGCGUGCCUAACACAUGCAAGUCGAACGCCCUUUUGCGCAAGUGAGAGGGAGUGGCGGACGGGUGAGUAACACGUGGGUACCUACCUUGAGGUGAGGAAUACCACCGAGAAAUCGGUGACAAGACCGCAUACGCUUGGCAACAAGCAAAGUCUCGCAAGAGACGCCACAAGAUGGGCCUGCGCCUGAUUAGCUAGUUGGUGAGGUAACAGCUCACCAAGGCGACGAUCAGUAGCUGGUCUGAGAGGAUGAUCAGCCACACUGGGAUUGAGAA